GCCCAAAGUCGCACGUGCCUGUGGGCGUCCCUCGGCUCCUCAAGAAGGAUCACCGGGUAGGUACAUACGGACAUGACUCCGUAUUGCGGUCUUAACAAAGGUCGCGGACGCCUUGAAGCAACGACGGUGCGGGCUUUU
rnacentral:sRNA from 1 species